AGCAGUAGCCACGGUAAUACGGAGGGAGCUAGCGUUGUUCGGAAUUACUGGGCGUAAAGCGCACGUAGGCGGUUAUUCAAGUCAGAGGUGAAAGCCCGGGGCUCAACCCCGGAACUGCCUUUGAAACUAGAUGACUAGAAUCUUGGAGAGGUCAGUGGAAUUCCGAGUGUAGAGGUGAAAUUCGUAGAUAUUCGGAAGAACACCAGUGGCGAAGGCGACACACUGGCUCACUACUGACGCUGAGGCGCGAAAGCGUGGGGAGCAAACAGGAUUAGAUACCCCGGUAGUCCCUGUCUCUUAUAC
rnacentral:rRNA from 1 species